rnacentral:lncRNA from 1 species
UGGAACCAAACUUGCAUCAGGUACAUUAAGGCCAUUCAGCUGCGACUUGUUCCGUAUAUCUAAUGAUAUCUUCUGGUAGAACCAUCAUUAACUAAGAGGUCUCUCACUUGUUCGUUGUAUAUUUCUAUCAUCUGUACUGCAACUUCAUAUCUUAUUAUGUCCACCCUUGCCUUUGAUAUUUGAAAUAAGUCGCGCAGGGCUCUAUAGUUCACUCCCCAUGUGUCUUCACUUGACAAAUCAGGGCCACUCUGUAGAGUUACCAUAGUGUAUGUCUUCCCCGAACCAGUCU